UCAACCGCGAGGUUGAAUCUGAAGGAAGCUGGAGGCAAAUGCACGAGCUAAUGUACACGAACUCAAUUCGAGGCAGUAUUAGUUGGAUGAGUCACCAUGACAUGACGAAAUCCAAAGUCGCCAAGAACUAAUCCUGUAAACUUGAGUGGCUACGGGCAGAAAGAUGACGUU
rnacentral:ncRNA from 1 species